rnacentral:lncRNA from 1 species
UCCACCAUGAAAGAACCUUACUCUGCUGGAAAGGCUCAACCCAUUCUAGUUAUGUCAAACUCAACCUGCUCUUCCUCCUCCUCUAGCAAGCUUGAAGGUGAGCACCUCGAAGGGCUUCUUUUUAUGUUGAAAGGCACGGGUUUGCAUGGCGGUUCAUCAGAGGUCAAUACCCCAGUUUGAGAAAGUCCACUGUGGGGAGGAAAGAGAGACUUAAACAAGCCCUGGAAAAACAAAGAAUGGAACACCCCUCCGCUGACUUCAACCAACUGCCUGCUGAUGCGGCCUGACUCCCAGCCCUUUUUGCAGUUUUGAAGUGACAAACUGACUAGGCUACAAAGUAUUCAACCAUGGGCUGGUUCUGGCUGGUUCACCGAGGCUGUGUACAAAGUGUCUUCAUGUCCUGUGUUUCACCUUUUAACAUACAGAACCUAAUUUUACUGCAUUUUAAUGUUAAUUCUCCACUCGAAGGUGAACAUGGGAUGUAUGUAACACAUAUGUUUGCUUAUCAAGCACACAUAUGACCCCCUUUCAUGAAUAUUCAUAGUUCCCCCUGUGACCUGUUGAAUAUGUCUGUUUAGCCAACCUGUUUGGCAUAAAACUCCUAUCCCACCC